UGUUGUUGUUUUUGUUUAUUUGUAGGUUUUAAAGUGGCUUGGGGGAAAACAGGAAUUGCUAAAGGAAGCAACUUUGCAGCCAAUUACAUCAGUGGAAAACCUAUAUACUCAAGAAUCCACUGUGUUUAAUCCUCUUCGUGCAAAACGGCCUGGUGCGGGAGGAGGGGCUACUGAGGAAACCAAGAAAUAUCUUGCAGAGUUGAUUCAGUCUAGUGCUAAAGAAUGUGACUUCUGUACUUAUAAAGUAAAUACUGCAAAGGAUCCUUUUGAAAGUGUUGAGUCCAA